UUGCCAUUGCUUUUGGUGUUUUAGACAUGAAGUCCCUGCCCAUGCCUAUAUACUGAAUGAUAUUGCCUAAGUUUUCUUCUAGGGUUUCUAUGGUUUUAGGUCUAACAUUUAAGUCUUUAAUCCAUCUUUAAUUAAUUUUUGUAUAAGGUGUCAGGAAGGGAUUCAGUUUCAGCUUUCUACAUAUGGCUAGCCAGUUUUCCCAGCACCAUUUAUUUAAUAGGGAAUCCUUUCCGCAUUUCUUGUUUUUGUCAGGUUUGUCAAAGAUCAGAUGGUUGUACAUGUGUGGUAUUAUUUCUGAGGGCUCUGUUCUGUUCCAUUGGUCUAUAUCUCUGAUGGGAUGUAUCUCAAAAUAAUAAGAGCUAUUUAUGAGAAACCCACAGCCAAUAUCAUACUGAAUGGGCAAAAACUAGAAGCAUUCCCUUUGAAAACUGGCAUAAGACAGGAAUGCCCUCUCUCACCACUCCUAUUCAAUGUAGUGUUGGAAGUUCUGGCCAGGGCAAUCAGGCAGGAGAAAGAAAUAAAGGGUAUUCAAUUAGGAAAAGAGGAAGUCAAAUAGUCCCUGUUUGCAGAUGACAUGAUUGUCAGCCUGAGAACACCAGUGGGAUUGGCUGGAGACCUCAGCUAAAAGGACCCUCACUGGGCGGGACCUUGAGAACUAUGUGCCAGGGAGAAUUCAGAUCUCUGUUAGCCCAAGAACACCGGUGUGGGUGGCUGGAGGCCACGGUUGAGAGGUCCCUCACUGGGCAGGACCUCAAGACCUCCAUACCAGGGAGAAUUCAAAUCUCUGUCAGCCCCAAAACACUGGCAGGGGUGGCUGGAGGCCGAAGUCCUUCACUGGGCCAGACCCUGAGACCUCCAUACCAGGGAGAAUUCAAAUCUCUGUCAGCCCAAGAACACCGGUGGGGGUGGCUGGAGGCCCAACUGGGAGGUCACUCACUUGGCAGAACCUAAAGACCUCCAUGCCAGGGAGAAUUCAAAUCUCUGUCAGCCCCAGAACACUGACGGGGUUGGCUGCAGGCCCCAGUUGGGAAGUCCCUCACUGUGCAGGACCCCAAGACCGCCAUGCCAGCGAGAACUCGAACCUCUGUCAGCCCCAGAACACCAGUGGGGUUGGCUGGAGACUGCAGCUAAAAGGAUCCUCAUUGGGCAGGACCUCAAGAACUAUAUGCCAGGGAGAAUUCGAAUCUCUGUCAGUCUGAGAACACCAGGGGCGGGUGGCUGGAGGCCUGAAUUGAAAAGACCCACACCAGACAGGAAGUGGAGACCUCCAUGUCAGGAAGAGUUCAAAUCUCUGUCAGCAUGAGAACACAGGUGGGGGUGGCUGGAGGCCCCAGUUAGGAGAACCCUUACUGGGCGGGACUUCAAGAACCAAGAACUCCAUACCUGGGAGAAUUCAAAUCUCUGUCAGCCCCAGAACACUGGCGGGGGUGGCUGGAGGCCCCAGUUGGGAGAUCCCUCACUGGGCAGGACCUAAAGACCUCCAUGUCAGGGAGAACUCAAAUCUCUGUCAGCCUGAGAACACCAGUGGGAUUGGCUGGAGACCCCAGCUAAAAGGACCCUCAUUGGGCGGGACCUUGAGAACUACGUGCCAGGGAGAAUUCAGAUCUCUGUCAGCCCAAGAACACAAGUGGGGGUGGCUGGAGGCCACGGUUGAGAGGUCCCUCACUGGGCAGGACCUCAAGACCUCCACGCCAGGGAGAAUUCAAAUCUCUGUCAGCCCCAAAACACUGGCAGGGGUGGCUGGAGGCCGAAGUCCUUCACUGGGCCAGACCCUGAGACCCCCAUACCAGGGAGAAUUCAAAUCUCUGUCAGCCCAAGAACACCGGUGGGGGUGGCUGGAGGCAUGAUUGGGAGGUCACUCACUUGGCAGGAGCUAAAGACCUCCAUGCCAGGGAGAAUUCAAAUCUCUGUCAGCCCCAGAACACUGGCGGGGUUAGCUGGAGGCCCCAGUUGGGAGGUCCCUCACUGGGCGGGACCCCAAGGCCGUCAUGCCAGGGAGAACUCGAACCUCUGUCAGCCCCAGAACACCAGUGGGGUUGGCUGGAGACCCCAGCUAAAAGGACCCUCGCUGGGCAGGACCUCAAGAACUAUGUGCCAGGGAGAAUUCGAAUCUCUGUCUGCCUGAGAACACCAGGGGCGGGUGGCUGGAGGCCUGAAUUGAAAAGACCCACACCGGACAGGAAGUGGAGACCUCCAUGUCAGGAAGAAUUCAAAUCUCUGUCAGCAUGAGAACACAGGUGGGGGUGGCCGGAGGCCCCAGUUAGGAGAAUCCUUACUGGGCGGGACUUCAAGAACCAAGAACUGCAUACCUGGGAGAAUUCAAAUCUCUGUCAGCCCCAGAACACUGGCGGGGGUGGCUGGAGGCCCCAGUUGGGAGAUCCCUCACUGGGCAGGACUUAAGACCUCCAUGCCAGGGAGAACUCAAAUCUCUGUCAGCCUGAGAACACCGGUGGGAUUGGCUGGAGACCCCAGCUAAAAGGACCCUCAUUGGGCGGGACUUUGAGAACUACGUGCCAGGGAGAAUUCAGAUAUCUGUCAGCCCGAGAACACUGGUGGGGGUGGCUGGAGGCCACGGUUGAGAGGUCCCUCACUGGGCAGGACCUCAAGACCUCCAUGCCAGGGAGAAUUUAAAUCUCUGUCAGCCCCAGAACACUGGCAGGGGUGGCUGGAGGCCAAGGUCCUUCACUGGGCCAGAUCCUGAGACAUCCAUACCAGGGAGAAUUCAAAUCUCUGUCAGCCCAAGAACACCGGUGGGGGUGCUGGAGGCCCGAUUGGGAGGUCACUCACUUGGCAGGACUUAAAGACCUCCAUUCCAGGGAGAAUUCAAAUCUCUGUCAGCCCCAGAACACCGGUGGGGGUGGCUGGAGGCCCCAGUUGAGAGGUCCCUUACUGGGCAAGAUCCUGAGACCUCCAUGCCAGGGAGAACUCAAAUCUCUGUCAGCCUGAGAACACUGGAGGGGGUGGCUGGGGACCCCAGGUAAAAGGACCCUCAUUGGGCAGGACCUUGAGAACUACGUGCCAGGGAGAAUUCAGAUCUCUGUCAGCCCUGGAACACCAGCGGGGGUGGCUGGAGGCCAUGGUUGGGAGGUCCCUCACUGGGCCAGACCCUGAGGCCUUCAUGGCAGGGAGAAUUCAAAUCUCUGUCAGCCCCAGAACACUGGCAGGGGUGGCUGGAGGCCUCGGUUGGGAGGUCCCUC
rnacentral:lncRNA from 1 species